rnacentral:rRNA from 1 species
AUUAUGCUACCUUUGCACAGUUAAAAUACUGCGGCCAUUUAAAAAUUUUCAGUGGGCAGGUUAGACUUUAAAUUUAAUUCACAAAGACAUGUUUUUGUUAAACAGGCGAACAUUAUUUUCGCCGGAUUCUUUACUUAAACUUAUCAUUUAAAUUUAUUUUACAAUAAAAUAUACUAAUUCUAUCAUUAUUACUUAAUUUUAAAAAUUAAAAUUAAUAUUUCAAUAAAAAUUUAAAAUAUAAUAAAUAAUUUAAUUUAUAAAAUAAAUUAUAACACAUUUUUUAAUAAUUGCUAAUUCUAAGCAUAUAUAUUUUAAAUUGAUUUAUCAUUUUUAAAAAUUUAUUUUAUAGCUUAUCCCAUAAAAUAUUAGAAUUAUAAAUUAUUUAAUUAAAAAAUUUUUUAAAUAAAUUUAUAACUUCUAAAUUAAAUUUAUUUCUUGAAAAACUAGAUACCUUUAAAAACGAAUAACAUUUCAUUUCUAAUAUAAUAUUUAAAAUAAUUUUAUUACAUUAACUUUACUAUUAUAUUAACUCUUUUAAAAUCGAGAAAAAUAUAUUUAAAUAUUUUUUAUUUAAUAAACGCUGAUACACAAGGUACAAUAAAUUAAAUUUUCUUUUACAAUAAAAAUUUUUCAAAAUAUUUCAAUUUUCUUUUACAAUACUAUUAAACUAUUAUUAAAUUUAUUUUUUCUUUAAACAAUACUAAAACUUUUUCUUAUAUAAUUAUUUUUAAUAUAUUAAAAUAAAAUAAAUAAAAUUAAUAAAUAAAAUCUAA